CUCACACAAAAGACAGCUAAAAAAGAUUGAUUUGAUACUUUGCAAUAGAGAGAGAGCUUUUAGAUCCGACCCGACGAUGACGAUCGUUAAACCGUCGUUGUUCCCCGGCGGCGGAUCUUCGCCGUUAUGUUCACUCAAAACCUCACUCCUCACCGUCGCUGUUCUCACUUUCGUUUCCCUCUUCUACCUCUCCCUCAAUUCCUUGCGCACUUCGCCGCCGUCUCCGGUCGUGUUAACGCCGAUUCAUGUUCCUCAGACCGUGAAGGAAGACAAGACAGAUAACAACAACGACGACAACGACGGCACAGCACCGACGACGGGAGAAGAUAAUAAUUAUUCCGAUGUUUAUCACUCGCCGGAGUCUUUCCGAUUGAAUUACGCCGAGAUGGAGAAGAGAUUCAAGGUUUAUAUUUAUCCCGACGGAGAUCCGAACACGUUUUAUCAGACGCCGAGGAAAGUUACCGGUAAAUACGCUAGUGAGGGUUACUUCUUCCAGAACAUUAGAGAGAGUCGAUUUCGAACCCUAGAUCCAGAAGAGGCUGAUCUCUUCUUCAUUCCAGUCUCUUGUCACAAGAUGCGAGGCAAAGGAACGUCAUAUGAAAACAUGACUGUGAUUGUUCAAGAUUAUGUUGAUGGAUUGAUAGCUAAGUAUCCUUAUUGGAAUAGAACUUUAGGAGCUGAUCACUUCUUUGUUACCUGUCAUGAUGUUGGUGUGAGAGCUUUCGAGGGAUCUCCUCUUCUGAUUAAGAAUACAAUUAGGGUUGUGUGCUCACCGAGCUACAAUGUUGGUUUUAUUCCUCAUAAAGAUGUUGCUUUGCCUCAAGUUCUUCAGCCUUUUGCUCUCCCUGCCGGUGGGAAUGAUGUUGAGAAUCGGACAACCCUUGGUUUUUGGGCUGGUCAUCGGAAUUCCAAGAUACGGGUAAUACUUGCCCGUGUGUGGGAAAACGACACAGAGCUUGAUAUUUCAAACAACAGAAUUAACAGGGCGACAGGGCAUUUAGUGUACCAGAAGAGAUUCUACAGGACUAAAUUCUGCAUAUGCCCUGGCGGUUCUCAAGUCAACAGCGCUCGCAUAACUGACUCGAUCCAUUAUGGAUGUGUACCUGUCAUAUUAUCAGACUACUACGACCUCCCUUUCAACGACAUCCUGGAUUGGCGAAAAUUUGCAGUUGUACUCAGAGAGCGAGAUGUUUAUAACCUUAAGCAGAUCCUAAAGAACAUACCUCAGUCUGAGUUUGUUUCGUUACAUAACAACUUGGUGAAGGUGCAGAAGCAUUUUCAGUGGAAUACACCUCCUGUCAAAUUUGACGCAUUUCACAUGAUCAUGUAUGAACUAUGGUUACGCCACCAUGUCAUCAAGUACUGAUGGAAGACUUUUUUUUUUUUGUUCUUUUUCUUUUUCUUUUCGUCAACCGCGUAGGUACAGUUCAAAGCAAAAAAAAGAGCUAGCAUGUACACCUCUUGUUAGUCAGUUUCUUGAUAGGGUUCUGAACAUACGCAAACUCAACACUGGAGGGGCUAUCAUUAUUUUUUGUGUAAAUAACCUUUUGCUUCCAUAUAUAUUAAGAACAUGUGCGUAAGCUAUUGAAAUGCUGAUAUUAGUGCUGAGA